GGCAAGGUGGCCGAGCGGUCCAAGGCGCACGGUUCAGGUUAUCUUAUACAUACUUCCGUGUCUCGAAAGGGGCGUGGGUUCGAAUCCCACCCUUGUCA